AUGUCCAUCGUGAAGUGGUAUGAUAACAAGGCAGUGUUGCUGGCAUCAUCCUUCAUUGGCCCUGAACCUGUUGAGAGAUGCAGAAGGUGGUCGAAAGAGAAGAAGGAAUAUGUGGAAGUGGACAGACCCCACAUUGUCAAGGUGUACAACCACAACAUGGGAGGAUCUCUGCACCAUCAGUUGAUGUCAGAUUAAACCGAUGCGAUCAUUUCCCCAUCCAUGCUGAGAAACGUGGACGAUGCAGACUGUGCAAGAAUGGCUACACGCAAAUGGCCUGCCUGAAGUGCAAAGUACUUCUGUGCUUUACAAAAGACAAAAACUGUUUCUUGGAGUACCAUAUGACAAAGUGACUUGGAAACAUGCCCUACUCAAUGCGGAUUUGAGAUAUUGGGUUUGAAAAGUUGUAUAUAAAAAGUUAUUGUUCAUAUCAUAUUCAGUCGUCAGUGUCUAAUUACCACACUGGGCCAAUGUUGCAAAUCUGCAACAUCCCAGAACGCCUUGCAUGUGAAGGUCUCUCUAAAAAAAAAGUCAGGAUUCUAUUGUACUACCCCAUAUGAUAAUUUUCCCCAAAUAUCAGAUUUUUCCUGUUACUAAAACUUAAUUUGAGCCUGAGAGGGUUAAGACUACACAGCUCUCCCUUUCAAGACGUUAAUCUGCACAAAAAUCCUGAUUUAUAAUUGAAUCAUCGUCUGAUAAAAUCAAAUACACAAAAGGUAAGACAUGAAAAAGGCAGUACCUCCGACAUAAAAAUACUAUAGUAAUUUAUAGUAAAUAGUGUUUUUGAAGUGUUUUACAGUAAUGUGUAUUAUACUGUGUAUAUAUUUUAGUAUUUACAACACUAAUGAAUGCUACAGCAUGCUGUUGUAUUAACUAUAGUGAACUGAUAAACUGUAAUAAGUACUGUUGUAUACUUUAGUUUUUACUACAGUAAACUGUAGUGUAUUGCAGUAUAAUAUACCCUAUAGUUGUAGAAAACUUAGUACAGUAUUCGGUGAAGUAAUUUGUUUAUAUUACUAUAGUUGUUAUGUUACCACAGCAACUAUAGAAUUACCACAACAAAUUAAUUCAAGUACUUUACUAUAGUAUAGUUCAAAAACAC
ensembl:lncRNA